rnacentral:SRP_RNA from 1 species
GCUGGGCACGGUGGCACGCGCCUGUAGUCCCAGCUACUCGGGAGGCUAAGGUGGGAGGAUCGCCUGAGCCUGGGAGUUCUGGGCUGUAGUGCGCUAUGCCGAUCGGGCGUCUGCACUAAGUUCGGCAUCAAUAUGAUGAUCUCCCGGGAAUGGGGGACCACCAGGUUGCCUAAGGAGGGGUGAACCGGCCCAGGUCGGAAACGGAGCAGGUCAAAACUCCCAUGCUGAUCAGUAGUGGGAUCGCGCCUGUGAAUAGCCACUGCACUCCAGCCUGGGCAACAUAGNNNNNNNNNNNN